GAUGAACGCUGGCGGCGUGCCUAAUACAUGCAAGUCGAGCGAACCACUUCGGUGGUGAGCGGCGAACGGGUGAGUAACACGUAGGUGAUCUGCCCAUCAGACGGGGACAACGAUUGGAAACGAUCGCUAAUACCGGAUAGGACGAAAGUUUAAAGGUGCUUCUGGCACCGCUGAUGGAUGAGCCUGCGGCGCAUUAGCUAGUUGGUAGGGUAAAGGCCUACCAAGGCGACGAUGCGUAGCCGACCUGAGGGGGGUGAACGGCCACACUGGGACUGAGACACGGCCCAGACUCCUACGGGAGGCAGCAGUAGGGAAUCUUCGGCAAUGGGCGAAAGCCUGACCGAGCAACGCCGCGUGAAUGAUGAAGGCCUUCGGGCUGUAAAAUUCUGUUAUAAGGGAAGAACGACUUUAGUAGGAAAUGGCUAGAGUGUGACGGUACCUUAUGAGAAAGCCACGGCUAACUACGUGCCAGCCGCCGCCGUAAUAC
rnacentral:rRNA from 1 species